rnacentral:rRNA from 1 species
CCCUUUGAUACUCCGGGCGGCACGCGCGCUACACUGGUUUAUAUAACGUGUAAUUUGGACGAUAGUCUGUAUAAAUCACUAAUAUAAAACCGUGAAUGGGAUAGUUUAUUGCAACUUACAAACUUUAACUAGGAAUCCCUUGUAGAAGUAGUGAAUUAUACUGCUUCGAAUACGUCCCUGCCGAUUGUACACACCGCCCGUCGUUUCUUCCGACUGGUACUCAUUGUGAAUUGCGAGGAGAUUCUGUCAAAUCGUUGUAAAUGCUGGGUAUUGGAGGAAGAAAAAGUCGUAACA